UGUUUUUGGGUUAAAUUUCCAACUCUGUCCCUUGAUAUUUAGCAUAACUGCCUCCGUACCCUUUCCUUCAAUUUUAUUUUUCUAAUGAAAUUAGGUUUAGCGGUGGUCUUCUCUUUAUCGCUGCCUCUCUACCUACGCCUCUUCUUGCAAUUCAUUCUCCGUCGACUUUGAAGAAGAUAUUUAUGCUUCAUCAAAUCACAGAUCCGUCAAGGAAGAAGACAACACAGAUGGAUGUUGAAAGCGAUCACAGUGGUUGCUCUAACUUUAGUUCUGACUCAAACAUCAGCGGCAGGCGUCGAACAUGUCUUUACCGAUCACGUCUCAGUUUGAUCCUCUUCUAUUUUCCUCGACGUGUUUGCUGUCGACCUCUCUUUUUUAUCUCCCUACCUCUCUCUUUAAUACCUAAUCAUGCUGGAAUACAGUAAACUAUGAUUUACGACGCCACUACUAUUGAGAAAGCUGAUCUUCUACUGUUUAGCAGGCAAUUGAUCCAAUAACAUGCAAAUGCCUGUACAAAAUGCUUAAUCGAGAUGUAUUUUAUGAAUAAAUGGCACACUUCUACUGGGAAAGAGCAUUUUUAUAUAGUGGACGAUUACGAGAGAUGAUAAACUGAAAAAUUGCUAUUUUUUCAGAAUCUAAUGAUUGUGCUAGAUGAUAAACUGAGGCAAUCAAGUGAGUUUCUUCAUUAUUGAUGUAAUGCAAUGAAUAUAUGGUUCAUUUAUGGUUCAAUAAAAGAAUUUUGAUGCAUUUUAGCGUUGGUUAUAUGAAAAUCGAAUGAGCAGUUAUGGAGCAGAUGUGUGGAUAUACUGUGCAUUGGCAUUGAUGGAAAAAUUUGAAUGGGCUCAAGGUUAUAGAAAACAUUUUUGUUUGCUUUAUAUGGAUUAUAAGAAUGGUCUUGCCCGACACCCAAAAUCUUUACCAUAUUGUUAAUUGCGUUGUCCUUCAUCGGAAUUUUAAGAGCUUUUUUUUGAUAAUGUAAAUUGACAGUAUCAUUGGUUACUUUGAAUCUUUCGCAGGCUGCCGGUGCGAUGUCAACAAAAAUUGAGAAGGAUUACCUUUGCCUAUAUGGAUUUUUCAAUGAAUAGUAGGAUCAAUCUGGCUGCUGAAGAGGUGCCUCCGGAACAUCCAUAGCCUUCUUUGGGUAUUAUUUUGCUAGAGAUGGAAUGCAAAAAAAGGAUUAUUGGUUGCAGUUCAUAGUGAUGCAUGGUUGGUUGCCGUGUCCUUUUAUUUUGAGGCUAGAUUUGGAUUUGACUAACCUGAUAGGUAAUUCAUUUUCUCAUUCGACAACUUAUUUGUGUGCUACUAUGCAUCUGUUGAAUUUUUAGUCCCUUAGGAUUUUUACCAUCAAUAGGCAUGGAGACUUUGUCAUUGUUAAUUUUCAGCUUUUAUAUGAUGUCAAUGUGGAAGGAUAAUGAUUCUGAAUAAGCAAAUUCAUUAUCAGUUUUAACAAAUAUCACCAGGCUGUUAAUUAUGAGUUUUAUGUUGGCUUGCGCCUCGAUAUGAUAUUUGAAGGGAAAGACUCAUGAAAGAAGGUACCUCGAUUUUUUGUUUUCUGAUUAUGUUGCCUUUUGUGUUUCUGAAUUGAUCAUUUUUUCUGCAUAAACUCAUUGACUAGCAAUCUAUAAACCUGUUGCUGCUAUCUAUUUUCUUGAGCAUGUGUACUAAUAAAUAUAUCCGAGGUAGCUAAUUUUGGAAUUGGUUUUGAAUAUAAAAGGUUCCCCAUUCAAUUUCCGGCUUUACAAUUUUUAUGAAUAUCUGCAAAACUCAUACGUUAUAUGAUGUAUAAGUAUCUAUCGCAUGAAGCUCUCCAACAAAUUAAGUUGGUCUCUUGGGAGUUCUUCCUAGCGUCGUAUGCUUAAAUUAAUGUACACUUACGAAUUUGGGUUUACUUUAUGGAGUUCUUUAAUUUAUGAAUAAUAGGCACAAACUGAAAAGGUUCUUGAGGAAAAUACAAAUUUUAUUUGAGCCAGAUCGUUAAUAAUAUUUUGAUGCGGCAUUACUUAUGAUGUUUGUUUCAUGUUCUUUCCAUGUUUCAGAAACAAAUAUGCCCUUAAAAGUCUGCCAAGGCAUGCAACCUGGAUUCGCUUAAGUGAUUUUGUCGAAGCUUUGCCUGAACUGAACUCUUUUGAUUCUUAAUCUGAUAAGCAACAGAUGUCUUAAUAUUAUCUUCCCAAUUGACCUGGAUUUGACAUGUUGAGAUUGAUUGUUUUUCAGGAGAAAGUACUAAUUAGUAGUUAAUAAUUUUAAGCUUUUAUUUAUAUUUUAUUCCAUAGGCUGUGUAAGAUAAUACCAAUUUUAUAUUUAAUUGUUAAUUAUGGAUUAUUACUUAA